rnacentral:tRNA from 1 species
UGGCUCAAAUGGUAAAGAAUCUGCUUGCAAUGCAGGAGACCCAGGUUCGAUCCCUGG